rnacentral:rRNA from 1 species
AGUGAACGCUGGCGGUAGGCCUAACACAUGCGAGUCGAACGGCAGCACAGGAGAGCUUGCUCUCUAGGUGGCGAGUGGCGGACGGGUGAGGAAUACAUCGGAAUCUGCCCAGUCGUGGGGGAUAACGUAGGGAAACUUACGCUAAUACCGCAUACGACCUUCGGGUGAAAGAGGGGGAUCGCAAGACCUCUCGCGAUUGGAUGAGCCGAUGUCGGAUUAGCUAGUUAGCGGGGUAAUGGCCCACCAAGGCGACGAUCCGUAGCUGGUCUGAGAGGAUGAUCAGCCACACUGGAACUGAGACACGGUCCAGACUCCUACGGGAGGCAGCAGUGGGGAAUAUUGGACAAUGGGCGCAAGCCUGAUCCAGCCAUACCGCGUGGGUGAAGAGGGCCUUCGGGUUGUAAAGCCCUUUUGUUGGGAAAGAAAUCUUUCAGGCUAAUACCCUGGGAGGAUGACGGUACCCAAAGAAUAAGCACCGGCUAACUUCGUG